CCUAGGGGUGGCAGCAGUGGGGAAUAUUGGACAAUGGGCGAAAGCCUGAUCCAGCCAUGCCGCGUGUGUGAAGAAGGCCUUCGGGUUGUAAAGCACUUUCAGUGGGGAAGAAAGCCUUGGGGCUAAUACCCUCGAGGAAGGACAUCACCCACAGAAGAAGCACCGGCUAACUCCGUGCCAGCAGCCGCGGUAAUACGGAGGGUGCGAGCGUUAAUCGGAAUUACUGGGCGUAAAGCGCGCGUAGGCGGUCUGAUAAGCCGGUUGUGAAAGCCCCGGGCUCAACCUGGGAACGGCAUCCGGAACUGCCAGGCUAGAGUGCAGGAGAGGAAGGUAGAAUUCCCGGUGUAGCGGUGAAAUGCGUAGAGAUCGGGAGGAAUACCAGUGGCGAAGGCGGCCUUCUGGACUGACACUGACGCUGAGGUGCGAAAGCGUGGGUAGCAAACAGGAUUAGAUACCCGAGUAGUC
rnacentral:rRNA from 1 species